UAAAACUUCAGUCAUUGCCCUGCCCCUCUACCUGCAGGUGACACUUAACUAACAAGCCAGCCUUGGUAUCCGAAUCUACAGAGCUUUGAGACUUAAAAAUGGCGGACCGCACGUACGUAAUCAAACUCUCCGAGUUUUCUGUGUUGUUGUUACGGCCAAUACGAAGCUCGACGAGCUCCGAUUCCUGUCCGAUCCAAUCCUCAACACAUUCUCCAACAACUCUUCUUCUCUUCUCUAAUGAAGGAGGUUGAGAGUUUUGGGAGCUUUUAUAUUUGUGUCGAGAAAGGAUGUUUUCUCUUGUUGUUUUGAGUUAGUUGGGCAAGCCCCAACAUUGCUUCCGGAUGACAGAGGCAAAGCUAUUGCUAUAAUGAGUAAAGCACUUGAACAUUUACUUAAGAAAGCUCAUGAGGAUGGUGUUGUUGCUGGAGUCAUUGGUAUUGGAGGCAGUGGAGGGACAUCUCUUAUAUCAUCUGCCUUAAGAAUUCUUCUGAUUGGAGUGCCUAAGGUCAUUGUGUCAACAGUAGCCAGCGGUCAAACCUUAUGUUGGGACAUCAGAUCAGAUUUGAUAUUUGUUUCCAUCGAUAGUUGAUAUCUGUGGGGUUAAUAGUGUAAGUGGGGUUGUGUUCUCAAAUGCUGGAGCUGCUUUUGCUGUAAUGGUGAUUGGAAGGCUUGAGAGAUCCAGAGAUUUUUCUAGCGUCAAUGAAAAAUCUACAGUUGGUUUAACAAUGUUUGGGGUUACAACUCCAUUUGUAAAUGAUGUCCAAGAAAGAUUGUAUAAAGAAGGUUAUGACUUAUGAGACCUUGGUUUUUCAUGCCACUGGGGUGGGGGGAAGGGUUAUGGAGUCUUUUGUUAGAGAGGGAUUUACAGGCAGUUCUCUUUAUACAAUCCAUUUGAACCUUCUUGUAUGUUUGGUAGUUAAGAAAUGUGAACCAAAAGUUUUUCUUAGGUUGUUUUUCGACCAUAAAUUUCUAUAUUGAAUUGAUGAUGUUAACAUCAUCAAUUUUAGGGGACUUCCAACUUGUCUUCAAAUAACUAGUUGAAAAGACAUCUGCUUAAGCUAGAGAUAGGUACUUAUGUUUGUUAUUUGAAUGUUUCUUGAGUUAAUGUUGGUACUUUAGAGCCAAUGUUAAAUUUUCAAACUUACAUUUGUGUCAUAUCAUGUUAUAAUGGCAUGCAUCUAAUAAGAAAUCUUUAAUUGACUCGCUUUGCAUGUAUAGAAUAUUUUCUGAUUCAUAUAUCUUUCUUUUAUUCAGUCUGUCAAGGUGUUCGUUAUGGGUUGAGUUGGUGGAGCCAGAUUAUUUAAUCCUUAUAAUUUCUCUGUGAUUUAAUUUAAUUUUUUUAAUCCUUUUCCCCCCUGCUUGGUGAUGGCUUCUUCCUUUUAUAUAUUUACUUUCUUUCCUGUUCAUUUUACUUAGGGAGUUUUGGACAUCACAACAACAGAGGUCGCAGACUAUUUAGUUGGAGGUACCAUGGCUUGUGAAGAUUCCUGCUUUGAUGCCAUUAUAGAGAAGAGGAUCCCAUUAGUCCUAACCGUUGGAGCGUUAGACAUGGUCAACUUUGGAGCUAAAGAUACCAUACCUUCUAAGUUUCAGCAAAGAAAGAUUCAUGAGCAUAAUAAGCAGGUUUCACUGAUGCGAACUACGCCAGAUGAGAAUAAAGGAUUUGCUGAGUUUAUAGCAAACAAACUAAACAAGUCAUCAUCAAAGAUCUGUAUUUGCCUGCCACAAAAGGAUAUCUCUGCGCUGGAUGUGCAAGGGAUGCCCUUUUAUGAUCUCUAGGCUACUACUAGUCUUAUAAAUGAACCACAAAGACUUAUUCAGACAAAUGAAGAUUGACAGGAUCAUUAUUGCUCAUUUACUAGAGCGUGUCUGAUAGGAGCUAAAGCUGCUGAAGUCAGUCAUGCUGAGCUAGAGUUAGUUAUGCUGAGCUGGAGUUAUUCUGUUAUCAUUGUUACAGGUAGUUGGUAUAACUAAUUAGCAGUUAGUCAGUAGCUUCAGUGUAAUGGAAUUGGCAUUGUAAAGCCUAUAAAGGGGACUAUAUGAAUUGUAAAGAAUCAUUCAGAAUAUUAAUGCAGAGCUUCUCUCUAUUCACUUGUCUCUCUCUCUCUCUCUCUCUCUUUCUCGUCUGCAAUUUCCUUAGGAGGCCUAGUUCCUUUGAAGAACUACUCAACUUUCUCUCUAUUUUUCUUGAAAUGAAUUGUCUCUAUCAAGUGGUAUCAGAGCCUAGUUUUGUCACAAUGACAGAAACUUGAUCCUUGUCUACUCUUACUGAAGAGGUGAAUGCACAUUUAAAGACAACUAAGUUCCAUCAAGAUGAGAUGCAUGAGAUUCAUCAAAAGUUGGAUGCAGUGACUAGUGUGCUGCAAACCUUAUCCGAGAUUGUGCAAAAUUUUAUAGAAGUUGGGCAUCGUUGGCAGCAGAGACUUUCAUUUCCAGGUGGCUCAAAUCAACAAGAAUCAGUUUUGACUGUUAUUCCAAGAGCUGUAAGGCUGGAGUUCCCUCAAUUCAAGGGGGAGAAUCCAUUGAGGUGGGUUUAUAAGGUUCACCAAUUUUUUCCAAUUAUACAAUACUCCACCUAACUAGAAAAUUUUGUUGGCCUCAUAUCAUAUGGAAGAUAAAGCUCUGGUAUGGUUUCAGGAUGUUGAGGAAUCUGGGCAGUUCAUGAGUUGGGAAGCAUUUGUGAGAGCCUUACAUGUUAGGUUUGGUGCACCAGCCUAUGAUGACCCUCUAACUAGGCUAAGACAAGUGAGUUCAGUAGCUAUCUACGAUGGCCAAUUUUAGGCAUUGUCUAAUCGAAUCAAUGAAAUCUCUGAGAAGCACAAGCUGAGUUGUUUUCUGAGUGGGUUGAAGGAUGAAAUAAGGUUGCCAGUGAGAAUGUUGAAUCCUCAGAAUCUGAACACAGCAUUUGGACUUGCAAAAAUCCAGGAAGAAUACCUUCCAGCUAGUAAGAAGAUAAGGCCAUGGAAUGAUAAUCAGAAGGGAUUAAUUUUUGGUC